UGGGGAAUAUUGGACAAUGGGCGAAAGCCUGAUCCAGCCAUGCCGCGUGUGUGAAGAAGGUCUUCGGAUUGUAAAGCACUUUAAGUUGGGAGGAAGGGCAUUAACCUAAUACGUUAGUGUUUUGACGUUACCGACAGAAUAAG
rnacentral:rRNA from 1 species